rnacentral:rRNA from 1 species
GACGAAGGUGGCGAGCGUUGUUCGGAAUCACUGGGCAUAAAGCGCACGUAGGCGGCGAUGUAAGUCGGAUGUGAAAUCCCUCGGCCCAACCGAGGAACUGCGUCCGAAACUGCAUUGCUUGAGGAUCAAAGGGGUGCUCGGAAUUUCCGGUGGAGCGGUGAAAUGCGUUGAUAUCGGAAGGAACGUCGGCGGCGAAAGCGGAGCACUGGUUGAUUCUGACGCUGAGGUGCGAAAGCCAGGGGAGCAAACGGG